rnacentral:lncRNA from 1 species
GUGAUAUAUAAGAUAUAUAUAUAUAUCUCUAAUAUGUUAUGUAUUAAGAAUUAUUCACUAUGCCACAAACUAUAGAUACAAAAGGAGUAUCUCUAGGGAAAGCCAAAAAAAAAAAAAAAAACACGGAAAGAAAGCAGGCUAGCAGAAGCUUCAAAAUAUCAAAAACUCUCUUACUGUGUGGCAAUAUAAACUAAAAACUAAUUCUCAAAAUCAUGGAGCUAGAAAAAAGAAUCAAGACAACCAAAAAAUAUGGUUAAUAAAAAUGAAGACAGAAGACAUAAAGAUGAUUAUGAGAACCAGGGUCUUUUCAAACAGGAGGUGAAAAAGGAUUGAGGAGAUGGACAUGGCAAUGAAGAAGAACUUAAUUUGCACACAGUCAACAGAGGGGGCAGGAGGACCAACACAGCUGCAGUUCUGCCACAUUAUUUAUUUUGAAUGUUCGAGCCACGAAGGUGCUCUGAGACCCUCUGCCUCAACAGGCUCAUUUCAUAGAUGAGAGAAGCCCAGAGAGGUAAGGGCGCCUUCCAAAACUCUAGUGCCUGUUUCUAGACAUGGAACCAGAACACCCCUUUGCAUUUCCCAUCACACUUUUCUGCUUAUUAUGUGGCAUGAGCUUGUCUUUAACAUUGAAUUAGAAUUAUUGCACAUUACGUUGCAUUCAUCAAGGCCUGCCCUUCAGGCAGUCUUAUGUAACAGUCUAUUAUAAAACAUCUGAGAAAA